UGCGAGCGGCUGGAGAUUGUUGGUGGUCGGCGAGGGAGAGGGAGGCCUAAGAAGCAUUGGGGAGAGGUGAUUAGGCAGGACAUGACCAGAUUGCAGGCUACCGAGGACAUGACCCUUGAUAGGGGCGUUUGGAGGUCUAGAAUCAGGAUUGUAGGCUAGGGGCUCCUAGAGUCCUUCGUUCGCAUUUCUCGGGGUGGGGUGUGGGAUAGUAGGGUUACCCAUAGGUGAUUAGUGUUUUAGCUUAUUUCUCCAUAUGGUUGUUAAUAUGGUAGUUACUGUUUGUUAUUAUUGCAUUAUUGCAUGCGAC
rnacentral:lncRNA from 1 species